GAGGCAUUACACCCUCCCUAUGACUCGGACAAACCACUACUGGUUGAAAGCGCACACCAUCCAGGCCCUGAGAUAACCUCAAAAUCUGGUACACACAAGACCAAGGGCGGUAAUUAUCUGUCUUCUAAACUUUUGCGAUAAAGAAACCAUUCUUCAAGCAUAUUGAAGAACAAAUUAAUUAUCCUACCAAGAACAUAAAGUAUUCAUCUUUCAAGACUAUUCACCAUAAGUGGUGGUUAAAAAGUACACAUUUUCUCCAAUUUGCAAAACACUGGUGGAAAAUAAGAACAAAUUCCAACUUUAAUUCCCUGCCAAUGUAAAGUUUACUCAUGAAAACUAAUGUUUAUUUGAUUCGCCUGCUGCAGCUCAGAAACUGAUUUCUAUUGUCAACUUCACCUGAAGUUUCUGAUAUCCUGAUUCCAUGGAUCUCCAAACCACAUGAACUGGUGUCUCACUGGCUGUAUGGGCCGCUCUCUAUGUUCUCAAUGUUUUAUUGUUUGUUUACUCUUGAUUGU